rnacentral:rRNA from 1 species
AGUCGAAGGCGAAAGUGGCGAAAGGGCGAGUAAUGCGAUCGAACGUACCCCAAGGUAGAGGAUAGUGGCGGGAAACCGACGGUAAUACUCUAUGUGCUCUUCGGAGGAAAGCUUUGGCGCCUCGGGAGCGGCGAUCGUCCUAUCAGGUAGUUGGUGAGGUAAAGGCUCACCAAGCCGAAGACGGGUAGCGGGUGUGAGAGCAUGACCCGCCGCAUCGGGACUGAGACACUGCCCGGACUCCUACGGGAGGCUGCAGCGACGAAUAUUCCGCAAUGGGCGAAAGCCUGACGGAGCAAUGCCGCGUGUGGGAUGAAGCGGUUUCGCCGUGUAAACCACUGUCAGGUGCUAGGAAACACUGACCAGAUUCCAAGGAAGGGCCGGCUAAUUCUGUGCCAGCAGCCGCGGUAAUACGGAAGGCCCGAGCGUUAAUCGGAAUCACUGGGCUUAAAGCGUGCGCAGGCGGAUGUGUAGGUGUCUUGUGAAAGCCCUCGGCUCAACCGAGGAAUUGCGGUGCAAACCACAAGUCUUGAGGAAGGCAGAGGUCGUCGGAACGUUCGGUGGAGCGGUGAAAUGCGUAGAUAUCGAACGGAACGCCAAAGGGGUAGCCAGGCGACUGGGCCUUUCCUGACGCUCAGGCACGAAAGCGUGGGGAGCAAACAGGAUUAGAUACCCUGGUAGUCCACGCCGUAAACGAUGCACACUAGAUCGGGGCGGUUCUGACACCGUCCCGGUCGAAGGAAAACUGUUAAGUGUGCCGCCUGGGGAGUACGGUCGCAAGGCUAAAACUCAAAGGAAUUGACGGGGGCUCACACAAGCGGUGGAGCAUGUUGCUUAAUUCGAAGCAACGCGAAGAACCUUACCAGGGUUUGACAUGCAUGGAUUAGCUCUGUGAAAGCAGAGUGACACUCUUGAGUGGAACAUACACAGGUGCUGCAUGGCUGUCGUCAGCUCGUGCUGUGAAGUGUCGGGUUAAGUCCCUUAACGAGCGCAACCCCUAUCGUUAGUUGCCAGCGCGUAAUGGCGGGGACUCUAGCGAGACUGCCGGUGUCAAACCGGAGGAAGGUGGGGAUGACGUCAAGUCAGCAUGGCCCUUAUGUCCAGGGCUGCACACGUGCUACAAUGGUGCAUACAGAGCGACGCGAGACCGCAAGGUGGAGCAAAUCGCAAAAAGUGCACCCCAGUUCGGAUUGCAGGCUGCAACUCGCCUGCAUGAAGUUGGAAUCGCUAGUAAUCGUAGAUCAGCUACGCUACGGUGAAUACGUUCCUGAGCCUUGUACACACCGCCCGUCACGUCAUGGAAGCCGGGAGUGCCCGAAGUCGCCAUAUUUCAA